rnacentral:rRNA from 1 species
AACGAACGCUGGCGGCAUGCCUAACACAUGCAAGUCGAACGAGACCUUCGGGUCUAGUGGCGCACGGGUGCGUAACGCGUGGGAAUCUGCCCUUGGGUUCGGAAUAACAGUUGGAAACGACUGCUAAUACCGGAUGAUGACGUAAGUCCAAAGAUUUAUCGCCCAAGGAUGAGCCCGCGUAGGAUUAGCUAGUUGGUGAGGUAAAGGCUCACCAAGGCGACGAUCCUUAGCUGGUCUGAGAGGAUGAUCAGCCACACUGGGACUGAGACACGGCCCAGACUCCUACGGGAGGCAGCAGUGGGGGAAUAAUUGGACAAUGGGCGAAAGACCUGAUCCAGCCAUGCCGCGUGUGUGAAGAAGGUCUUCGGA